rnacentral:lncRNA from 1 species
GUCACUCAUGGUUUGUGGAAGCCUUAAACGUGUAUAAUCACUAAAGGGAGAAUUGAAAGUAAGUUUCAAUUCACAAUCGAUUUGAAAAAGUUCUAAUCGCCCACUGCCUCGCUAAAAAGAACCUAAUGGAUUGCACAAAGUGUAAGGUAAUGCUUGAAGGAUUUUACAGAGAUGAGUAAGAACAAUUAAAUGGUUUAAUUGUUUAUGGCAAGAAUUAAUUAAUAUGUUAAUUAAUCAAACGAAUAAAUUCGUUUUAAACCUUG